UACGGGGGAGCAAGCGUUGUUCGGAUUUACUGGGCGUAAAGGGCGCGUAGGCGGCCAGCACAAGUCAGUUGUGAAAUCUCCGAGCUUAACUCGGAAAGGUCAACUGAUACUGUGCGGCUAGAGUGCGGAAGGGGCAACUGGAAUUCUUGGUGUAGCGGUGGAAAUGACGUAGAUAUCAGGAGGAACACCGGUGGCGAAGGCGGGUCUCUGGGCCGAUACUGACGCUGGAGGAGCGAAAGCGUGGGGAGCGAACAGGA
rnacentral:rRNA from 1 species